ACAGGUCAAGCAGUGGGCUGCUUUAGCUACGCUUGCUUGAUAAGGGAAACCACCGUGAUUAGGCCAAACAGCUAAGCGCUGAAUCAAUAGACUGAGUGAAUUGUACUUGGACAACAAUCGUUACUUCUCUACAUUCAAUUACUGCAGUUUUGAAUUAUCGGAACGCUGAGAGAGAUUUAUGCUCUGGGAAGGAUGGAUAAAAGUCCCAAAGCCUCCCUAUUUCCUGAGAGGCAAGUGCUUACUACGUAAGUCCAGACGGCAGUUACUUAGGAGACGAGCCAGACAUGAGGAUGCAGCUGAUGAUGGACUCUUUUCAAAUGGGAACAAAAGGUGAAAUCGGAGGAAGCAGCGAGGACGACCCCCGGACGGAGCAAACCCGCGCGCCGCUGUAUCCCCGUGCUCAGCGCCGACGUCCCCUGCCGCCACCAUGCCCAAAAGAAAGGCUGAAGGGGAUGCUAAAGGAGACAAAAUCAAGGUGAAGGACGAGCCACAGAGAAGAUCUGCGAGGUUGUCUGCUAAACCUGCUCCUCCAAAGCCAGAGCCCAAACCUAAAAAGGCCCCUGCGAAGAAGGGAGAGAAGGUACCCAAGGGGAAGAAGGGGAAAGCUGAUGCCGGGAAAGAUGCGAAUAAUCCUGCAGAAAAUGGAGAUGCCAAAACAGACCAGGCACAGAAAGCUGAAGGUGCUGGAGAUGCCAAGUGAUGUGUGUGCAUUUUUGAUAACUGUGUACUUCUGGUGACUGUACAGUUUGAAAUACUAUUUUUUAUCAAGUUUUAUAAAAAUGCAGAAUUUCGUUUUACUUUUUUUUUUUUAAGCUAUAUUGUUAGCACACAGAACACUUCAUUACUGGGUGGGGGAAGGAUCAUGUGUCAGUAACAAAAUCUCUCCCAAGCUGGAUUGAGGACAGAAAACCUCUUUCCCUGAUAAUUUUGGAAGGCUCCUGUUGGCUCCCAGGAGAGAGAUCCUGGUUUGACCUAGGUGGCCACCAAGGCACAACAAUGCCUUGUGGUCUGGGAAAACUAUAAAUUCACUUUUAUAUCCUCUUCCCCCUGUACUAUCAACAUAGACUUAAUUCCCUUAAAAACCAGAGACCUGUUGGAACCUGGCCCCCAAAAUUGGUUUCCCAGUCCAUUGAGUGAUGUGGACUUUGCAGUGACUUCAUCGAGAGUUCUCAGAAGAGCACUGGUUCCUUUUAUAAAGGAUUGUGGAUCUUCAGAUUGAUAAUUCUGCCUAAAAGUCAGGGUCGGCUUGUGAAAAGUUGUUAAAACAACAUCCUUAAUGUGAAAUGUCAACCCUCACUCUAAGCUACUUCCCCCUUUUCAAAGCAUUGAAUGAAGACUUCAUUGGGUUUUAUAGUGGCUUUCUGAUUUUGGUAGUCUAUACAAGAAGGGAAUUUGGAAGUUCUUGUAUAUUGUUGAUUGUCUGCCCAUGUCCUGCCUGAAAUACCAUGAUUGUUUAUGAAAAGAAUCUUUAAUAAAGCUGGUUACAGUUAGGCUUGGAAAAAAAAAAAAAAGGUGAAAUCAA